GCUGAAAUCACUUGCUCACAGGAUGACAGGGAGCUGGGAACCUCAAGGUAGGUGAGGCUGCCAAGAUGCGAGUACCGGACUCGGCUGGGGCGCAGAUGGAGCCCGCCCGGUAGGGGGCGUGCGGGGCCGUGUUUCCUGGGUUCCGGCGCCCGGCCCGGCCUGGCCGAGCCGAGCCGCGCGGCCAGUAGGUGUCCUUGCUCCUCGAACGGCCUUGAGCAGUGCCCAGCGUUGAGGGUGAGGCUCGUGCUCCGGGUCUCGCGGACGGCCGCCUCGGGCGUCGGGUCCCGGAGAUUGGACAGACACCAGAGCCCGAGGACCGCGGAGUGGCCGGGUGGGGCUGGAGGGCGGCGCCGCGCCUUCUGGGGAGACACGGAGGUAUCAGGACCUGGGAUAUACUCCUGAUUUUAUACAGACUGCCAUGGCUCCAGAUAUAAAAGACCAAAUAAAAAGGUUCAUAUGUUUGUUUUUUUAAGAGAUCGGUAAGAGGGAGGGACCAAGAUGGCUGACCAGAAGCAGCUGCAGUUGGAGGCUCCCACCAAGAAGAAAGAAAAAGGUGAGUGAAUCCUGCACUGUCAACUGAGGUAUCCAGGUUUUCUCACUGGGACUGACUAGGUGGUUGGCAUGACCCACAGAGAGCAAGGAAAAGGAGGGUAGAGCAAUGGUCCACCUGGUAGCCACAUGGGGCAAGGGAAGCUCCCACCUCCAGCCAAGGUAGGCAGUUAGUGAUUCUGCUACCCCACCUUGGAAACCAUGCUGAUUCCAAUGAUCUUUGCAACCACAGGUCAGGAGAUCCCCUCAUGAGCCCACGCCACCAGAGCCUUGGGUCCCAAGUGCAGAACUGUGCAGAUUCUCUAUGGCUGCUCAGCUCAAGACUGUUUAAGGCUACCCAGUUCUCAGGGGGAGGGGCAACCAUCAUCACUGAUGCCUAAGAAAAUUGAGGAGACUGAGAAGUUUGGACCCAGGAGGAAUUCCCCGUAAUACAGCACAGCAGUUGUGGCAGAUUGUGGCCAGAUUGCCUCUUUAGGCUAGACCCUGAUCCAUCCCUGCUCAACGGGUAGGGCCUCCCUGCAGGAAUUUCAGCAACUCCAGCCAGGGGUUUCCUGACAAAACUCUGAUCUUUCUGGGAUGGAGUGCCUGUGGGGAGGGGUAGCUGUGAUCUCCAGAGAUCAGCAGACUUAGUCUUUCCUCCUGCUGGCUCUGAGGAAUCCAGACAGUCUGGACAAGUGGGAUUCCCCCCAGUAGAGUGCACCCCCUCUGCUAAGGGGCAGCCAGAGUGCUUCAUUAAGUGGGUCCCUGAUCCCAUGCCUCCUGACUGGGUGAGACCCCCCAACAGGGUCACCAGACACUUUAUACAGUAGCACUUCUGCUGGUAUCAGGUUGGUGCCCUUCUGGGACAGAGCUCCUAGAGGAAGGAGCAGACACCCAUCUUUGUUGUUCUCCAGCCUCCUUGGGUGACACCUCCAGGUGUGAGAAGGACCCAGGUGAAUAGGGUCUGGAGUGGACCCCCAGCAAACUGCAGUAGCCCUAUGGAAGAGGGACUUGACUAUUAAAAGAAAAAUAAACAGAAGGCAACAAAAACAACAGGGUCAAAAAAUAGUCCCCACAAAAACCCCAUCCAAGGGUCAGCAGCCUCAAAGAUCGAAGCUAGAUAAACUCAUGAAGAUGAGAAAGAAUCCAUGAAAAGACUCUGCAAACUCAAAAAGCCAGAGUGCCUCUUCUUAUCUGAGUGAUCACGACACCUCUCCAGCAAGGGCACAGAACUGGGAGGAGGCUGAGAUGGAUGAACUGGCAGAAGUAGGCUUCAGGAGGUGGGUAAUAACGAAGUUUGCUGAGCUGAAGGAGCAUGUUCUAACCCAAUGCGAAGAAGCUAAGAAUGAUGAUAAAACAUUACAGGAACUGUUAACCAGAAUAACCAGUUUGUAGAGGAACAUAAAUGACCUGAUGGAACUGAAAAAUACAACACAAGGACUUCACAAUGCAACCACAAGUAUCACUAGCUGAAUAGACUAAGCAGAGGAAAGAAUUUCAAAGCUUGAAGGCUGUCUUGCUCAAAUAAGACAGUCAGACAAGACUAGAGAAAAAAGAAUGAAAAGGAACAAACAAAACCUCGGAGAACUAUGGAAUUAUGUAAAAAUACCAAACUAUGGCCGAUUGGGGUACGUGAAAGAGACGGGGAGAAUGAAACCAAGUUGGCAGGGAGAAUGAAAUCGAGUUGGAAAACAUACUUCAGGAUAUCAUCUUGGAGAACUUCCCCAACCUAACAAGACAGGCCAACAUUCAAAUUCAGGAAAUCCAGAGAAGCCCAGUAAGAUACUCCAUGAGAAGAUUAGCCCCAAGACACAUAAUCAUCAGAUUCUGUAAGGUUGAAAUGAAGGAAAAAUGUUAAGGGCAGCCAGAGAGAAAGACCAGGUCACCUGCAAAGGGAAACCCAAAUGCAAAAGGCAUGAAAUCGUAACAGUCUCUCAGACCACAGCACAAAUUAGAACUCAAGAUUAAGAAACUCACUCAGAACCACACAACUACAUGGAAAUUGAACAAUCUGCUCCUGAACGACUCCUGGGUAAAUAAUGUAAUUAAGGCAGAAUCAAAAGUUCUUUGAAACCAAUGAGAAAAAAGAGACAACAUACCAGAAUCUCUGGUAUGCAGCUAAUGCAGUGUUAAGAGGGAAAUUUAUAGCACUAUGUGUCCACAUCAAAAAACUAGAAAGAUCUUAAAUUUAUACUCUAACCUCAUAACUAAAAGAGCUACAGAACCAAGAGCAAACAAACCCCAAAGAUAGCAGUUGACAAGAAAUAACCAAGGUCAGAGCAGAACUGAAGGAAAUAGAGACAUGAAAAAUCCUUCAAAAAAUCGAUGAAUCCAGGAGCUGUUCUUUUGAAAAAAAUAAAAUAAAAUAAACUACUAGCUGGACUAAUAAAGAAGAAAAGUGAGAAGAAUCAAGUAGACACAAUAAAAAUUGAUAAAUAGGAUAUCACCACUGACUCCUGAAAACUAAACAACCAUCAGAGAAUAGUAUAAACACCUCUAUGCAGAUAAACUAGAAAAUCCAGAAGAAAUGGAUAAAUUCCUGGACAUAUGCCUCCUCCCAAGAUUGAACCGGGAAGAAGUCGAAUUCCUGAAUAGACCUAUAACAAGUUCUGAAAUUGAGGCAGUAAUAAAUAGCCUACCAACCAAAAAAAAAAGGCCCAGGACCAGAUGGAUUUACAGCUGAAUUCUACCAGAGUUACAAAGAGGAGCUGUUACCAUUUCUUCUGAAACUAUUCCAAGAAAUUGAAAAGGGGGGACUCCUCCCUAGUUCACUUUAUGAGGCCAGCAUUAUCCUGGUACCAAAACCUGGCAAAGAUCAACCAAAAAAGAAAACUUCAGGACAAUAUUCCUGAUGAACAUCGAUGCAAAAAUCCUCAAUAAAAUAGUGGCAAACUGAAUCCAGCAGCAUAUCAAAAAGCUUAUCCAGCAUGAC
rnacentral:lncRNA from 1 species